rnacentral:rRNA from 1 species
UACGAAGGGUGCAAGCGUUACUCGGAAUUACUGGGCGUAAAGCGUGCGUAGGCGGUUUGUUAAGUCUGUCGUGAAAGCCCCGGGCUCAACCUGGGAAUGGCGAUGGAAACUGGCGAGCUAGAGUACGGUAGAGGAGAGUGGAAUUCCCGGUGUAGCAGUGAAAUGCGUAGAGAUCGGGAGGAACAUCAGUUGCGAAGGCGGCUCUCUGGACCAGUACUGACGCUGAGGCACGAAGGCCAGGGGAGCAAACGGG